AUAGCCCGUCACGGCGCACGCGCGAACAGACCACUGUGUGAAAGUAGUACCCUCACAUCGCGACUCUGUGCACGAAACGAACUUUUGUGUUUAAAUGUGCUACGCAAUGGAUAUUGUUACUUUGGACCCAACUGGACUAUACUAAAAGCUGGAAAUUAUUUACCACAUCAUCAUGGACGGCCUGACCCUAGACCCCACUGGUCAGUACUAACUAAUGGCUUUUAAGAGUUUGGACCCGACCGGUGUGUAUUGAACUUUCUUAUUAGAAUAUUUCUUAAUAAAAUGGCGGUAAAGGUUCUCGAUCCUACCGGACAAUACUAAAGUAACAAAAUGGUCGGGUUAGAUCCCACAGAAAUCUACUAAACACUUUCUACCUUCUAUGAGGCAAUAUGUGCUGCGGCAGACGGAGAAUUCUUACUGGCACGCGCCCAGAGGAAACAUCUUCUUGUAGGAAAAGGAGGCAUUCGUUUGAAACCUAACUGACUUCCGAAUAAUGACAACAGCUGUAAAUAAUCCGAAUAAAUUGAAGGGGGGCGUGAGCGCAAGGUCAUCGGAUGGAAAUCAGCUGACUUGCGCGCAGCGUGCUAUCCGGAAAUGCAGACAUAGAAAAAAAACUCUGUGCAGUAACUUAGUUCAAAAAACGCUUGUUACAGAAGAUCCUUAUUAUUAUGAGAUUUUUUCCCCGCUUCACAUCAUCCGCAUCACAGUUUUCAACUUCAUCUCCUCAAGACUCCAAUCACUGUUUCAUCAAUACUCACUAGUUUUAAGCGCUAUUUGACUGAAUACAUACUUUUCUAAAUCUUACAUAUCUUUCAUGCAUUUGUAUUUUAAAUAAAUUAUUGUAUUUAAAAAUGUAUAAUUGUAAGUUGAUGCAGCUUUGUUGACAGCUAUAAGAUAGAUUGUUUUAGAUAGUAAGCUAAUUUUUUUUUAAUUCUAAUAGUAUAAAUAAGAUGUAUUUAAUAUUUAGUGAAAAUGGCAAUCUCUAUUUUCUGUCAAUAAAGUAGCAUCGAACUAUGUGUAGAGUCUACACUGUAGAUGUUAAGAAUUAUAUGGACAAGCAAAAAGAGGCAAAGGGUUUUUUGAAUGGUUUUCUUUGUUGGACUGUAUAUUUUUAUAAGAAACCUUCAAAAUUUACCAUAUAUAAAAUUUAUAGGUAGUUAUUAGUUAAGUAAUACGAUUUCCGCUUCUUAUUAUUUUCCGCACCAUUCGAGUUACCAAUUUGAUUUCAUGCUUAUACAAAAUGUAAAUAAAAUAAUGCUUUCUUCUGCUCUUUCUUAUCUUCACUCUUUCUUAUUCAAAUAUGACAUGAAUGAAAUAUUUUUAACUAAUAAAACUGCGAGUAGCAGUCUACAAAAUUUAACGCAAUUUUAAUUCAGUGUUGCCAUUUAAGACUGAAACAUUUUAAUUAAUUGUUAUUAUCGGAAGGAAGGAUAUCUAUCGCCUUUUCGUAAUGAAAACGCCCAGAAAGUAUCCCACCCUAGCGUACACGAGUUAUAAACAAUGUAAUAAUUAUCGUAUAGUUAUAGUGAAUAAUAAAGAUGUUAUAUAUUACUUCUGAAA
rnacentral:misc_RNA from 1 species